rnacentral:tRNA from 1 species
CGGGGGAGGCGACCACCCGGUCGAAGAGGUCCUGCGAGGGGGUCAGCAGGUACGCCUGGGCCUCCCCGACGUGGAAG